rnacentral:lncRNA from 1 species
CCGCCUGCAUCCAGGUGAAAUAAACAGCCUUGUUGCUCACACAAAUCCUGUUUGGUGGUCUCUUCACACGGACGCGAGUGAAAUUUGGUGCCGUGACUGGGAUCAGGGGACCUCCCUUGGGAGAUCAAUCCCCUGUCCUACUCUUUGCUCCAUGAGAAAGAUCCACCUACAACCUCAGGUCCUCAGACUGACCAGCCCAAGGAACAUCUCACCAAUUUCAAAUCCAGACCCCACUGAAAAUCGGACUGUUCAACUCACCUGGCAGCCACUUCCACAGCCCCUGGAACUCUGGCCCAAGGCUCUCUGAUUGACUCCUUCCCAGAUCUUCUUGGCUUAGCGGCUGAAGACUGAUGUUGCCGGAUCGCCUCGGAAGCCUACAAGACCAUCACAGACGCUCUAGGUAACUCUCACAGUGGAAGGAAGUAAAGUGCCUCCAGGAAAAUCCACAUCCUAACUGGUAAGAGCCUACUUACAACAA